AUACGAAGGGUGCAAGCGUUAAUCGGAAUUACUGGGCGUAAAGCGCGCGUAGGUGGUUCAGCAAGUUGGAUGUGAAAGCCCCGGGCUCAACCUGGGAACUGCAUCCAAAACUACUGAGCUAGAGUACGGUAGAGGGUGGUGGAAUUUCCUGUGUAGCGGUGAAAUGCGUAGAUAUAGGAAGGAACACCAGUGGCGGAGGCGACCCCCUGGACUAAUAUUGACACGGAGGUGCGAAAGGGUGGGGAGCAAACAGGAUUAGAUCCCCUGGUAGUCCACGCCGUAAACGAUGUCAACUAGUUGUUGGGUUCCUUGAGAACUUAGUAACGAAGCUAACGCGAUAAGUUGACCGCCUGGGGAGUACGGCCGCAAGGUUAAAACUCAAAUGAAUUGGCGGGG
rnacentral:rRNA from 1 species